UGGGAGAGUCCGGUCUCUGAGCCGGCGCCGAAGGAGCAAGACCUCCCCGGGAAUCUCUCAGGCAUCCGUACCGCUCAGA
rnacentral:ncRNA from 1 species